AUUGAACGCUGGCGGCAGGCUUAACACAUACAAGUCGAGCGGGGGAAGGUAGCUUGCUACCGGACCUAGCGGCGGACGGGUGAGUAAUGCUUAGGAAUCUGCCUAUUAGUGGGGGACAACAUCUCGAAAGGGAUGCUAAUACCGCAUACGUCCUACGGGAGAAAGCAGGGGAUCUUCGGACCUUGCGCUAAUAGAUGAGCCUAAGUCGGAUUAGCUAGUUGGUGGGGUAAAGGCCUACCAAGGCGACGAUCUGUAGCGGGUCUGAGAGGAUGAUCCGCCACACUGGGACUGAGACACGGCCCAGACUCCUACGGGAGGCAGUAGUGGGGAAUAUUGGACAAUGGGGGGAACCCUGAUCCAGCCAUGCCGCGUGUGUGAAGAAGGCCUUAUGGUUGUAAAGCACUUUAAGCGAGGAGGAGGCUACCCUAGUUAAUACCUAGGGAUAGUGGACGUUACUCGCAGAAUAAGCACCGGCUAACUCUGUGCCAGCCGCCGCGGUAA
rnacentral:rRNA from 1 species